rnacentral:ncRNA from 1 species
CAAAAGCCUGGUCCUAACUUUAAUGUCAAUUAUUACCCUGAUUACACAUGCAAGUACCCGCACCCCUGUGAGAAUGCCCUCCAUCUUCCAAUCGAAGAAAAGGUGCCGGCAUCAGGCACGCCUAAAAGCGGCCCAAAACGCCUUGCUCAGCCACACCCCCAAGGGGUCCCAGCAGUGACAAACAUUAAGCAAUAAGCGAAAGCUUGACUUAACAAGAGUUAACAACAGGGCCGGUAAACCUCGUGCCAGCCACCGCGGUUAUACGAGGGGCCCACAUUGACAUUUUUCGGCGUAAAGGGUGAUUAAAGAAAAAAAACACUAAAGCCACAAAACCCCUGAGCUGUCAUACGCUAACGAGGAUACGAGGCCCAACAACGAAAGUAGCUUUAAUAAAUCUUGAACUCACGACAGUCAGGGUACAAACUGGGAUUAGAUACCCCACUAUGCCCGACCAUAAACAACGACGAUAACAUACACACAUCUUCCGCCAGGGGACUACGAGCACCAGCUUAAAACCCAAAGGACUUGGCGGUGCCUCAAACCCACCUAGAGGAGCCUGUUCUAUAACCGAUGAUCCUCGUUAAACCUCACCACUUCUUGCCAUCCCCGCCUAUAUACCGCCGUCGCCAGCUUACCUCAUGAGAGCUAUAACACUAAGCUAAACGGGCCCCCCCAAAAACGUCAGGUCGAGGUGUAGCGAAUGAAGUGGAAUGAAAUGGGCUACAUUUUCUGAUAUCAGAACACAACGAAAAAUGCCAUGAAAUAAUCAUAAUCGAAGGUGGAUUUAGCAGUAAAAAGAAAACAGAGUGUUCUUUUGAAGCCGGCUCUGAGACGCGUACACACCGCCCGUCACUCUCCUCGACAAAUUCCUAAACAAAACAUAUAAAACACACCACAAACAAGAGGAGGCAAGUCGUAACACGGUAAGUGUACCGGAAGGUGCACUUGGAAAAAU